rnacentral:rRNA from 1 species
ACGUUGGAUACUGGAGCGGGGAAGGAUUUCGUGCCAACGGCACUCGUACACGAGUUGUUCGGAUACUGAGCACAACGUUACACCGUUUUGUUAGGAAAGUGAAGGUGCGUCGGCGGCGUGCGUUUUUUUUUUGCUUUGUUUUUUUUUUUUAAAAAAAAAAAAAAAAAAGGCGCCCCCCCCUGGGCCUUUUUGAAAAGGGGGAAA